CAGAGCAGCUCCUUCAGAACACCCAGACUUGAGGGAUGUGGCCAGAAAACAGCAGUUUAAUCUUGGCUCAGUGAAAGCCAGAUUUGUGGAUAUAAACAUACAAAAUACCCCAAAAGAGUUACGCUGAGACAUAAGUACCUCUCAACAUAAAACAAGGUCAAACAGCAACUGGCUCUGUCCACCUUAGUGCAAGCGAGCAGCAAACACUGUAUGUUUCCAUAGGUGCUCAGGAAAAUGGGUUCUUUCUUCUUCCCUUGCUAUGAAACUGAAAUUGAGUCUUGCUUACACCUGGAGAACAGAAGAGAUGUGAACACCGGGAAACCACACAAAGGGAAUUCUUUUUGUAAACUGCAAGAACCCAGGAGAUUGCUGCUGAUGAAUGCCAUUCUGCCUGUUCCUUCUUCUGUUAUAG
rnacentral:lncRNA from 1 species